rnacentral:rRNA from 1 species
UACGUAGGGUGCAAGCGUUAAUCGGAAUUACUGGGCGUAAAGCGUGCGCAGGCGGUUAUGCAAGACAGAUGUGAAAUCCCCGGGCUCAACCUGGGAACUGCAUUUGUGACUGCAUGGCUAGAGUACGGUAGAGGGGGAUGGAAUUCCGCGUGUAGCAGUGAAAUGCGUAGAUAUGCGGAGGAACACCGAUGGCGAAGGCAAUCCCCUGGACCUGUACUGACGCUCAUGCACGAAAGCGUGGGGAGCAAAUAGG